rnacentral:snoRNA from 1 species
CAGGAGCCUAAAGAGAUGUCUUUCUAUGUUCUGUUGGCCAAUUCAGAACUUGGGUAGUGAAAUGGUCAGUUCAUUAGAAAGAAACAGCU